rnacentral:misc_RNA from 1 species
CAUGUAGACUCAAUCCCUCGGGUUUCCGAGGAGAUUGGACUUGGGUGUCUGCCUCUUCUGGCUCGCCUUAAAAGACUUAGCGGGAUAGCACCGUAGUCGACGUAAUAAGUUUCGUCGGUGAGUGUGAUGUCUGCUCACAAUCGCCCCUGGGCACUUUUGACUCUGACCUCAAAUCAGGUAGGACUACCCGCUGAACUUAA